GAUGAACGCUGGCGGUAUGCUUAACACAUGCAAGUCGAACGGUCACUUCGGUGCUAGUGGCGGACGGGUGAGUAACGCGUGAGAAUCUGUCUUCAGGUCGGGGACAACAGUUAGAAAUGACUGCUAAUACCGGAUGUGCCUUUGGGUGAAAGAUUUAUUGCCUGAAAAAGAGCUCGCGUCAGAUUAGCUAGUAGGUGGUGUAAGAGACUAUCUAGGCUCCGAUCUGUAGCUGGUCUGAGAGGACGAUCAGCCACACUGGAACUGAGACACGGUCCAGACUCCUACGGGAGGCAGCAGUGGGGAAUUUUCCGCAAUGGGCGAAAGUCUGACGGAGCAAUACCGCGUGAGGGACGAAGGCUUUUGGGUCGUAAACCUCUUUUCUCAAGGAAGAUGAUGACGGUACUUGAGGAAUAAGCAUCGGCUAACUCUGUG
rnacentral:rRNA from 1 species